rnacentral:rRNA from 1 species
GACAGAGGGGGCAAGCGUUGCUCGGAAUUACUGGGCGUAAAGGGCGCGUAGGCGGGAUGGCAAGUCGGUCGUGAAAUCCCUCGGCUCAACCGAGGAACGUCGAUCGAUACUGCUGUUCUUGAGGAUUGCAGAGGAGACUGGAAUUCCCGGUGUAGCGGUGAAAUGUGUAGAGAUCGGGAGGAACACCGGUGGCGAAGGCGGUUCUCUGGGCCUUACCUGACGCUGAGGAGCGAAAGCGUGGGGAGCGAACAGG